AACCAGGUGGCUUCGUGUGUGUGUGACGUUUAGGAAGCAUGAGCUGUGGGACAACACCGCUCGGGUCUGAGUUCUCUCUCUACCGCUUGCGAGCUGACCUCUGUGCCUCGGUUGCCGCAUCUGUUAAGGGGAAAUGAUAACACUUCACAGAGCUGCUCUGAGGACUGAAGGGAUGUAUGUUGCCAAAUUCGGAGAAGCACGGUCCCCGGGUUGCAGGACGACAGGAUGGGAGACCCUGGAGUCCACUGCAGUCGUUCAGGUGAUGAGGCCCCGGAGCAGGAGACAGGACGUCAGCAGUGCCCUCUGACCUGGGCCUGGCCGUCUUCGGUCUGGUCCCAUCUGGUGAGGGUGGUGGGGCUGACCUCCACCCCGCCGUGCAAGGCCGCUGCUCCGAAGGCCCGCCGAGCUGGCUGGAGAAAAGGCUGACUCGAGCCUGCAAAGGGGAAGCAGAAAUAUUUGCUCAGCUGCAAAGACAAGCCAGAAAUGUCCAGAUUCAGCAGUUGGUGAUUCAGAUCUUUUUUCAACUGGCUGACACAGAAAAGGCCCUGUGGGGAUUAGAGCCAGGACUUUGAUGUUAGAGCCGGAAUCCCAGCUUCAACACUGCUGUGCUGUGUGACCUGGCGUUGUGACCAAGGAGAUGCUUCUGUGGCAGGAGAUGGAGCCUGGUCUGCACACCAGCAAGCCGGCCUGGAAGAAACUGAAUCCUGCAGACAGCCCCGCGGGUUUGGGAGUGGAUUCUGCCCCCAGGAAUCCUUCCGAUAAGCCCGGCCAACCCCAGCCCCCCAGCACCUUGAUGGCAGUUUGCAGAAGACCCAGCCGAGCUGCGUGUGGCCCCCUGACCCACAGAAACCGUGAAAUAGUAAACGUGUGCUAUUUCAAGGGCACGAAGCUGGAGUGGGCCCGAUGCUGGUAAGGUGGCUCCUACCACGCUGAUGAGGGCGACUCCCCAGGAAACUGCAGAGCUACAAGAUAGAAGGCAUCCAGGAGCCCAGACCACAGUGGGGAGCUGGGCCAUAUCACGCCCCCUGACUCCCCUGCCCUGGGCCUGUGUCUACUUCUGGACGUGAGAGAGAAGUGACCCCACUUCUUGCUGAGCCACUGUAUUUCGGGGUCUCUGUGUUACGGCAGUGUGGCCUGCACCUUGACCACUAGGGAUAAUGGAGCAAGGCUGUGGCCUGCACCUUGACCACUAGGGAUAAUGGAGCAAGGCCCUCA